rnacentral:rRNA from 1 species
AGCGCAUACGGUGGAUGCCUUGGCAGUCAGAGGCGAUGAAAGACGUGGAAGCCUGCGAUAAGGCUCGGGGAGCUGGCAAACAAGCUGUGAUCCGGGCAUUUCUGAAUGGGGAAACCCACCGACUUUCGGGUCGGUACCUUACACUGAAUCCAUAGGUGUAAGGGGCGAACCGGGGGAACUGAAACAUCUAAGUACCCCGAGGAAAAGAAAUCAACCGAGAUUCCCUAAGUAGCGGCGAGCGAACGGGGACUAGCCCUUAAGCUAGACAACUGGUAGGAGAAGGCUCUGGAAAGUGCCGCCAUAGUGGGUGAUAGCCCCGUAUCCGAAACCUGAGUCUGGUGAAAUCGAGUAGGACGGGACACGUGAUAUCCUGUCUGAACAUGGGGGGACCAUCCUCCAAGGCUAAAUACUCCUGACUGACCGAUAGUGAACCAGUACCGUGAGGGAAAGGCGAAAAGAACCCCUGUGAGGGGAGUGAAAUAGAUCCUGAAACCGUAUGCGUACAAGCAGUCGGAGCGGACUUGUUCCGUGACGGCGUACCUUUUGUAUAAUGGGUCAGCGACUUAUGUUCAGUGGCGAGGUUAACCGUUUAGGGGAGCCGUAGGGAAACCGAGUCUGAAUAGGGCGAUUUAGUCGCUGGGCAUAGACCCGAAACCGGGCGAUCUAUCCAUGAGCAGGUUGAAGGUGCCGUAACAGGCACUGGAGGACCGAACCCACUGUCGUUGAAAAGCCAGGGGAUGACUUGUGGAUCGGAGUGAAAGGCUAAUCAAGCCCGGAGAUAGCUGGUUCUCCCCGAAAGCUAUUUAGGUAGCGCCUCGGACGAAUACCACAGGGGGUAGAGCACUGUUUCGGCUAGGGGGUCAUCCCGACUUACCAACCCGAUGCAAACUCCGAAUACCUGUGAGUACUAUCCGGGAGACACACGGCGGGUGCUAACGUCCGUCGUGAAGAGGGAAACAACCCAGACCGCCAGCUAAGGUCCCCAAGUACCAGUUAAGUGGGAAACGAUGUGGGAAGGCUCAGACAGCUAGGAGGUUGGCUUAGAAGCAGCCAUCCUUUAAAGAAAGCGUAAUAGCUCACUAGUCGAGUCGGCCUGCGCGGAAGAUGUAACGGGGCUCAAACUGGUCACCGAAGCUGCGGCUGCAUACUUUGUAUGCGGGGUAGGGGAGCGUUCUGUAAGCCUGCGAAGGUGUGUUGAGAAGCAUGCUGGAGGUAUCAGAAGUGCGAAUGCUGACAUGAGUAACGACAAUGCGGGUGAAAAACCCGCACGCCGGAAGACCAAGGGUUCCUGCGCAACGCUAAUCGGCGCAGGGUGAGUCGGCCCCUAAGGCGAGACCGAAAGGUGUAGUCGAUGGGAAACGGGUUAAUAUUCCCGUACCUUGGAUAGCUGCGAUGGAGAGACGGAGAAGGCUAGGUGAGCCGGGCGACGGUUGUCCCGGUUUAAGCGAGUAGGGAGUGGACUUAGGCAAAUCCGGGUCCACAAUCCCGAGACGUGACGACGACUGCUCAUAGAGCGGGAAGUCAUUGAUGCCAUGCUUCCAGGAAAAUCUUCUAAGCUUCAGGCUAUUCGAGACCGUACCCCAAACCGACACAGGUGGUCAGGUAGAGAAUACCAAGGCGCUUGAGAGAACUCGGGUAAAGGAACUAGGCAAAAUGGUGCCGUAACUUCGGGAGAAGGCACGCUGGCAGUAAGUGAAGCCCCUGCGGGUGGAGCUGAGACCAGUCGAAGAUACCAGGCCCCUGCGACUGUUUAUUAAAAACACAGCACUGUGCAAACACGAAAGUGGACGUAUACGGUGUGACGCCUGCCCGGUGCCGGAAGGUUAAUUGAUGGGGUUAGCGCUUGCGCGAAGCUCUUGAUCGAAGCCCCGGUAAACGGCGGCCGUAACUAUAACGGUCCUAAGGUAGCGAAAUUCCUUGUCGGGUAAGUUCCGACCUGCACGAAUGGCGUAACGAUGGGGGCGCUGUCUCUACCCGAGACUCAGUGAAAUUGAAAUCGCCGUGCAGGUGCGGUGUACCCGGCGAUAGACGGAAAGAUCCCUGUCUCUCAUAUACACGUGACACUGCCCGCCACAAGGAAGGUGAGCGACACGGGU